rnacentral:misc_RNA from 1 species
CUGUUGCAAAGAUGAAUACUAUCAAGAUCUUACUGUCAUGUGUUGCAAACCUUGAAUGGGAUUUAUAGCAGUUUGAUGUUAAAAAUGUUUUUUUGCAUGGAGAUUUAGAAGAAGAGGUAUAUGUGGAAAUCCCUCCAGGAUUCAAGGAUGAAAAAACUAAAGGCAAAACUUAUAGAUUGAAGAAGGCACUAUAUGGUUUGAAGUGGUCACCAAGAUCAUGGUUUGACAGAUUUAGUAAAGCCAUGAUUUCUUUUAAAUUCUAUCAAAGCAAUGCUAAUCAUUCUCUAUUCAUGAAACACCAGAAAGAUAAGAUCACACUGCUUAUUGUCUAUGUUGAUGAUAUAG